ensembl:snRNA U6 U6 spliceosomal RNA
GUUCUUAAUUUGGCAGCACAUAUAUUAAAAUCAGAAUGAUACAGAGAAGAUUAUCUUGAAAGUGUGUUUGGAUUCUACUGUGAUGUUCUUCUUAGGACAAAGUUGACAGUGCUUCAGGCCCUUUCUUUGCAGCAGAACUGGAUGGCAAUUUCUAGGCCAAAGUGCCAUUCACAAUACAAGCCUCACAGAGAUGUGCUGCACAAAUCGGCAGUACAGAGAGGCAGACAUUGAAAUGACUAUUGUUUCACAUUAUUACUGGAGUGGAUGUGAGGGCGAUCUUCUUAGGACAAAGGUGACAGCUCUCCAGGCCCUUUCUUUGCAGCAGAAGUGGAUGGCACUUUAUGAGCAUGGGCCCUGAGAAAGAAUGACAUGCAAUUUCAUGAACCAUUCCAUAAUUUG